rnacentral:tRNA from 3 species
GGCGAGGUCUCUGGUUCAAGUCCAGGAUGGCCCA